rnacentral:lncRNA from 1 species
CCUUCAUGCACUCUGCUUUCUCUCCUCUUUCUUCCUCCACUCCGGUCACCGCUGCACUUCAGCCAGUUUUUAAUAACUGCCUCGCAGUCGCUGGCCAAAAUGUUCUGGCUAGCCGAUGCACCUAAACAGAGAAAGUGUAUUUAUUUAGUUUAUUUAACAUUGAUUUAUUGAGGAGGAAAGAUCCUUUGAGAUUAGUAAUCCGUUUUUCAUGUCCUGGCCAAUAAUACAAUGGUACAAAGUGCAUUACAAGUGUUUAAUGACAAGAUGCAUGCAGUACACUCCAUGGUUAUUCAAAAUAAAUGAAUCCAUUUCAUAAUUCAUAGCUCAAUGAGUGAUUUGUUUACAUACCUCUUACUGCAUUGCACACCUUGUAGGAGGCAAAAGCCAGCUUCUUCCCUCCUCUGCCAAGCCAGUUGAAUUUCAGCGCAAAGUGGUUGGUGAGGAUGUGGCGAAGGAUUCUUCGAACCGCGUCACCAGGAUUGCAGCCCCCAAGCGCACUAAGGUGUGCUGCCUGCAGGUAAGAAUGGAAAGUAAUGUUUUAGAAUAACUUAUUAUGGCUUAUAGUCAGCAUACCGUUCAAAAUGAACAUCUUUGGUAAUGCGAAAAGUUCAUUAAACACCAAACACUGGAUACUGUUCUUUUUUCUCAAAGGCUUGAUCAAGUUUUCCUGCCCAACACCUGCACCUGGAAAGCUGAAGGGUUGUGCACAAGGACUUUCAUGCACUUUGAUCUUUGGGUGCUCCUGGUUUGGGCUUUUUUCAGGUUCAUACGCGCUGCAUCAUAAUUGGCUGUUGAAGACAACAAUGAAUUCCCAUCUCUCAGACUUACCUGAUCCUCCAUCCAAACUCUGA